rnacentral:rRNA from 1 species
UACGUAGGGGGCAAGCGUUAUCCGGAUUCACUGGGUGUAAAGGGAGCGUAGACGGCAUUGGAAGCCAGAUGUGAAAAUCCGGGGCUCAACCCCGGACCUGCAUUUGGAACUCCAAAGCUAGAGUUCCGGGUGGGCAGGCGGAAUUCCUGGUGUAGCGGUGAAAUGCGUAGAUAUCAGGAGGAACACCGGUGGCGAAGGCGGCCUGCUGGACGGUAACUGACGUUGAGGCUCGAAAGCGUGGGGAGCAAAC